rnacentral:tRNA from 2 species
GACUUUAGAAAUCGUGAGGGUUCAAGUCCCUCUAUCCCC